rnacentral:lncRNA from 12 species
AUGGGAGGGGUUGAUGUCCCUUGCUUGGUGGACACUGGAUCCAUGGUGUCUACAGUUACAGAGAGUUUUUUCAUCCAGCAUUUUGAGCCGUGGGGUAGAGAGAAACUUCAAUCUUGCCACUGGCUGCAGCUCAGAGCAGCCAAUGGGCUGGCCAUCCCUUAUAUUGGCUAUCUGGAGUUGGAUGUUAAACUUUGUGAUAAGUCCGUGGCAAGGUGCGGUGUACUGGUGGUUAAAGAUCCCCCCGGUGAUAUGUCACUUCACGUCCCCGGUGUAUUGGGAAUGAAUAUCAUCCGCAGGUGCUAUAGAGAGCUUUUCGGCCAGCAUGGCUUGGCCUUGUUCAAUCUGCCCUCAGUAUCUAGGGCUCCAGAGCCUGUUGUGAAGGCACUGCAACGGUGUCACCAGGCCAGUGAGCAGGCUCCCCAGGACGUUUUAGGCAAGGUGAAGGUUCGGGGUAGGAAGUCCUGCCGCAUCCCUGGUGGCAUGAUAAAGACCAUCGCUGCAACCUGUUCAGUGCAGUAUUCUGGAUGUACUGUACUGUUCGAGCCUUUGGACUCUGGUUUGCCUGCUGGACUUCUGGCUUCUCCGGCCCUGGUUCAGGUGGUCGGGGGUACUGCUUAUAUACCCAUUGUGAAUGUUGGGGCCAUUGAUGUGGUAUUGUACCCUCGUACUGUUGUGGGUACCCUGGAUAAGGUCCGUGUUGUCAGCUUGCCUGCAGGGGUCACCGAGGUGCCAUCUGUUGUUGCUGCGGUAAGGUCCCAAGCUGUUCCUCCUGGGGUGCAAGACCAGAUUGAGGCCAUGGACUUGUCCUCACUGCCUGCUGAAGAGCAGAGCCGGGUUCGGUCCUUUUUGCAUAACUACACCCCUGUCUUUGCCACUCAUGAUGGGGAGCUGGGUUGUACAAACCUGAUUUCUCAUGACAUCCCUCUUUUGGAUGAUGUCCCUGUCCGGCAACGCCAUAGGCGCAUCCCUCCUUCAGAGUAUGAGUUGGUCAAGGACCACAUCAACCAACUCUUGGAGGCACAGGUAAUAAGGGAGAGCAGCAGUCCCUAUGCCAGUCCCAUUGUGUUGGUAAAGAAAAAAGAUGGGAGCUUGCGUAUGUGUGUUGAUUACAGGCAACUUAACAACAAAACGAGGAAAGAUGCUUUUCCUCUUCCCCGUAUUGAUGAGUCUCUGGAUGCCUUGACGGGUGCCCGCUGGUUUUCCACUUUGGAUUUGGCCAGUGGCUAUAACCAGGUCCCUGUUUCUGAGGCAGAUCGAUCCAAAACGGCAUUUUGCACCCCAUUUGGCCUCUUCGAGUGGAAUCGUAUGCCGUUUGGG